UACGUAGGUGGCAAGCGUUGUCCGGAAUUACUGGGUGUAAAGCGCGUGUAGGCGGCAGACCAAGUCGGCGGUGAAAGCGCCCGGCUCAACUGGGCGAGGUCCGUGGAAACUGGUCAGCUGGAGGACGGUAGAGGCGAGUGGAAUUCCCGGUGUAGUGGUGAAAUGCGUAGAGAUCGGGAGGAACACCUGUGGCGAAGGCGGCUCGCUGGGCCGGUCCUGACGCUGAGACGCGAAGGCGUGGGAGGCGAACGGG
rnacentral:rRNA from 1 species